GGGGAUGUAGCUCAGAUGGUAGAGCGCUCGCUUAGCAUGCGAGAGGUACCCCGAUACCCCGCAUCUCCA
rfam:Brassica napus, WGS project CCCW01000000 data, contig: 9368